rnacentral:rRNA from 1 species
AUUGAACGCUGGCGGCAUGCUUUACACAUGCAAGUCGAACGGUAACAGGGUGCUUGCACCGCUGACGAGUGGCGAACGGGUGAGUAAUGCGUCGGAACGUGCCGAGUAGUGGGGGAUAACGCAGCGAAAGUUGUGCUAAUACCGCAUACGUACUGAGGUAGAAAGUGGGGGACCUUCGGGCCUCACGCUAUUCGAGCGGCCGACGUCUGAUUAGCUAGUAGGUGAGGUAAAGGCUCACCUAGGCGACGAUCAGUAGCGGGUCUGAGAGGACGACCAGCCAAACUGGGACGAAGACACGGCCCAGACUCCUACGGGAGGCAGCAGUGGGGAAUUUUGGACAAUGGGCGAAAGCCUGAUCCAGCAAUGCCGCGUGUGCGAAGAAGGCCUUCGGGUUGUAAAGCACUUUUGUCAGGGAAGAAAACUGUUUGGCUAAUACCCGAAUAGGAUGACGGUACCUGAAGAAUAAGCACCGGCUAACUACGUGCCAGCCGCCGCGGUAA